rnacentral:lncRNA from 1 species
UCCCAAUGCUCUCGGGGAUCCCAAUAUUGGGAUCUCAAUAUCUCGGAGAUACCCAAUGCUUCACAGAGAAGACAAGGGACAUCAGCUACAGAGAGGUGCAAAAGAGCUUUAGCAGAAGGCCCAGUACUUUCCAUCAGUCUGCCCCAGAGAGUGGCAUUCUCUGUCUUCCGGACACUUUUCAGAAGCAUUGUCACUAGCUCUGCAGCCCUGUUCAAUAAGGGCUGAAAUAAACCCCAUUCCAACCACUUAGAUCUGCUACAGGACAGAGAUUCUUCAACUUAUACUGGCACAGCUCAGCUCUCCCUACAGAGUCCAGACGUGAU